AACAAUGGAGCAAAGUAGGUCAAGUUAACCAACAACUGAGGUGAAGUAAGGACGCCUUUUUUUCCUUUUUUCUUUUUUUUUUUUUAAGAAAAGUUAUCCAGGCACCAGAAACAUUAAAAAACAACACAAACUGUAUAACAGUCAUGAAAGACAAUGCCCCAGAGUUGAAUUUCCAAAGAUAGCCAACCUGAAGAGAUCAUCCUAAAAUGCACGUGUGAGUAUGUCACUGAAAUACAGAAUAAAGGUAUGCCCAUAAACAAAUCUGUUAUCCAUCGAAUAGAAAGCAAGUUAUUAUUAUUAUUAUUAUUAUUAUUAUUAUUGCAUUUUUAAAAAAUGAUACCAUAAAUACUUAUCCGAUCACAUUUUGUUCCAUUGUAAUCUGACAGUUGAAUUUAAAAGACCAUUCAAUGUGUUUGUUUUAUCAUUAUGUUCAUUGUAGGUUUAUUUAAUUAAACCACAAAUUAGUAAAAAAAAAUUGAAAAAAAGAAAAGAAAACUUUCAAAACACUUUUUUUGUGUUUCUCUAAAAUUAGGACUUGAAAAGAGGCAUCAUGGGUUAAAGCUGCCUGAAAAUAACCUCCAUCCCACUUUAUCAAGGAUCAUGGUUUUUGAUGCAUGUUGAAUCUUGUUGUUUUGUAUUUCUUUUUGACAUGUUGUCAAAAGUCAGCAGUUUAUGCUCUGGGUAUAAUACUGUAUUAACCCCCCUGUCUCUUUGGUAAAAGUCCUGCUUUGUUCAAACAGUUUAAUUACUGACUUUAGCUGAAUCUUUCCUGUGCUUAUAUGGUACAUAGUAGGUCAGAGCAUGUAUAAAACCACCAGUUUUUUGUAUCCAGUUUAAGCCUGUUGCUUCUCAUAAAGACUCUCAAAGGUACCUCGUCCGUCUCCAAGAGACACUGAGGGUUUUGACAAAGUGUUGAUAUUUCAGAACUUUCAAAGUGAGUACAGACAGGCAGUUAUGGUAUUGGGGGGAUGGGGUGUAAAGUGCACUUAAAAUUGUUCUAUUAAGUGCUCCAAUCUUUGUGUCCUAUGGUUUUCUGCUAUUAAGAGAGGCUGUUAAUGUAAGGAGCCACACAGUGCCAAAGCCCACAGCUCUUGGAACAAAGUCCCAGCUGUAGUAAUAAAACCUUUUACCAGCGAAAGGGACACACAUUUCCCCCCAAAACCUGUCUGGAGCAAUGCAGUUCUUUUAGACUCACAGUGGUGAUCAAGAAAGACAUAAAAGGCAAAAUUGAAGCUUUCUAGUUAGCACAACCAGAAAGCUUUGCAGUAAGACUAAAAAAAAAACAUGUCCUCGAUGCCAUUCAUCACUUUAUUUGCUUUUUUCCCCCUUUCGCUCAGUGCACAAUGACCUACUGUGUAUGCUAAGCUGGCUAUCAGUCAUUUGUUUACUACUUUCCCUGUGCAUUCUGGGAUACUUUGGGCCCAGUGUGUUGAUUAAAUUAAUCACCACCCCAUACUUAAUAAGCACUAAAACUGGUCAUCUCACAAACUGGACAUCUGAGUGAUUUUUUUUAACAUGCUGGGGGUGUUAGUUGAGGUUGGGGAUCCACAAUACUCUAAGUUGAUCUAAUUAUUUUUAUUGCCUAAACCCAAUGACUGUUUCUUAACUGUAAAGUAUAACAAAUGCAAGAGUUUGAGAAUUGAUGGCUCCGGCCAUUAAUUUGUUUCCGCCACAAAUUUAGUCAUCACUGCAGUUAAGCACUGAUACCUCCCAUCCCUUUUUUCUUCAUAAUUCGAUUAGUUGAAAAUAUUCCACCGUAGCUUCUGCAUCCAGAAAAUCACUUUAAGCCAAAAACAUAAUUAGUUUUGGAUAAUAGCUACAGUGGCAGUGGGAUCGCAGAUGAGCUCUUUACUUAAAGACACAUAUACUCCAGCGAUUUAUUCCUACCAAAUGCCAAAUUCUCCAUCAUGCUCACUGUCGAUGUUUUGAAACUCAAUUUCAUUCACAGCUGAGUUCCAAAAUGUCAUCAGUGAGUUGAUGAGCAUGCUGUUGGAAACGACGGUAGAAAAUCCUGAUCAGAUUUUGCACAGCACAGCCUAUGAGGAAUAUAAUUGUGCUUUUUCCUCAGACUCUAGAAAAUAGUCAUAAAAAAUCCCUGCCUCCAAACUUCCACAUCUUUCAACCACAGGUACUUUCCUCUCAAACAAACAACAGGCAACAGAAUGACGCACAGGCUUAGCUGCUUGACAACAUGCUCACAGUCGUUAUAAUGAGGACCGCAAUGACUGAUAAGAGCCGUGAUGUCAUUGGUUCAGCAGUUUCUCCGGAUUUGAACAUUCAAAUCAUUUUUUCAGCCUAACACCCAACAACAAUAAUAACACUGCCUCGCUGCAGCCCUGCACAGUUGGUAUUAAAUAAAUUCUUGGAAAAAGGACCUUAUUCAAAACCUCUAUGUGAAGUGGCCCUCAUGUCGUCCCUUAGGCUGUUGAAAUAUUCUAGUCAUCAACACAGUCUCUGUUUUAAACAGACCUAAGCAUUUCAAAACCAAAGUGAAGCACAUCAAAACUGAUUGUCAAAAGGCAGUCUGACUAUCCUGGGAUCAACACAAAACUAUUUGAAAGGAUUUUAAAAAUAAAUACACAAGUACAAGAACUUUAUUGAUCCCCAAAGAGGAAACUUGUUUGUCCGGAGUCUAAUCUCUAUAUGUCCAGAGAUGGUACUGAUUCCUCUCCACACCUCACUGAUGUUGCUCUGCCAUCUUUGCCAUCUUCAGUCUCCUCUUCAACGCGUGUUUCAUUUGUUUGAGUCGUUCUUUGUCGCUGUCUCUAAAAGCUUCCCUUUUUUCUGGUUGAGGAUUUACUUUAUGUCACUUGUGAUCCAGGGUUUGUUGUUGAGGAAACACAAUCUUUGCAGGUAUAAAUUGUGUUUCUGCAGAAGUUGAUGUAUCCAGUAAAGCAGUCUUUCUGUCUGUCAAUGUUCAUAUGGUCUCGUCUGUUUCCAGCAGCACAGUCCAGUCUGUUGAUUUAAAACAGUCCCUUUUAGAGCUUCACUAGCUUGAGGAGUCCAUCUUCUGAUUUGCAGAUAGACCAAGUCAUGAUUUGACUUGCCCAGUGUUGGUAAGGCAGUGGCUCUGUAAGCUUCUUUGACGUUGGCAUACAGCAGAUCCAGGGUUUUGUUUUCUCUGGUAGGACAGUUAACAAACUGUGUGAUUCCAGUCAGGUGAGAGGAGAGGGUGAUAUGGCUGAAGUCUCCCUCUAUUAUUGUAAGUGCCUCAGGGUGUUGAGUCCAUAUCCUAGCAACAGUAUCAUGCAAAACAUUGCAUGGGAUUUCAACCAUUGCCUUGGGUGGGAUGUAAAUAGGUAUUGUUAUGAUUUGACUAAAUUCUCUUGGAACAUAAUAUGGUCGAAGGGCAUCUGCCAGGACUUCAAUAACUUGACAACACAACUUCUCCUUGACCCCCUCAUUUCCUCUUGCCACUAGCUUUAGCAUCUCUGUUUGAGCUUAUAUGAGUGUAGCCAGGUAGAUCCACACUGGAGUCCGAGUUGUUUUGAUUCAACCAGGUUUCAGUAAAACACAGGAGACUGCAGUCACAGUAUACUUUCUCAGCCUUCCCCAAUGUCUCCAGCUUGUCACUUUUGCUGGGCAGAGUUGACGUUUCCCAUGACGACUAAUGGGAGAAAGGGUUUAUAUCUCCAUUCCCUAGCCUUCAACCUUGCCUUCAGCUGUGUACCAGCAUGGCAACCAGGAUAACGCCUCCUGAUGUCCUCUGGAUUUCAAUGUUGUUGUUCAAAUCUGCUCUGUUUCAAUGAAAGAAGCUCUUCUCUUGAAUAAAAUCUUCUCCCAGCAGAAAUAUUCAUCCACAGCCAACAAAACACAACAUGCACAUGAGAAAAAUUGAGCAAAAAUUGAAGAAAAUUCAGACUUUGCAGGCACCAUUUGGUUUAAGCAUAGAUCUUAGAAUGAAUGGUGUUUCACCCGCUUGCAGUGUAGGAGACAUAUCUUUGAAAUUAGAGGUAAGUUAGCAUACAAAGAUGUUUUCCCUAAAAUGAGUCACUAGAGUUGGAAUCAGAGGCAUCCUGGCCAUGAUACAAGCUCCGGAAUUGCAGUAAAGGUACAACAAACUCAAAAUUUGUGCUGAUUUAUAAAGAAUUGUGGUUUCUUUUGCAUUGGUCUUAACAGUGUUGACAGUACUACUAACAAUUCUCUCGGGUUAAUCACUGAAUAAUGCAGAGAAGGAAGUGGAUGAGCGUUUUUAACUUAACAGCUCUAAGGUGAUACUGGGGGAAAAAAAAUAAAAAAUAAAAUAAUGACUUUGAGUUGUUGUACAAAUUGAUGACAUGACAGAAGAUGAAUCGCUGUUCAAUAAAUCUGAUUUUGAUUUACAUGAUGAAAUUUGCCCCUAACAAUUACAGAAACAUGAUAAUCAAGACUAAACAAAGUUUGGGAGCAUAAGGAAGUUGCUAAGAUUAGUUCAUAGGUGAUGGCCUUUGAUGAUCGUUAUAUCAAGAUCAGUGAAAAAAAUUGUGGUUGUGAUUGUUGGUAUACUUAAGCAGCUCUUAUGCACGCCAUCAUGAGGGGUGGCUGUGGCUCAGCAGUUGCAUCUCUUAACGCAGAAUGUAAAGGUUGAUUCCCCAGGUGCCACUGUCCACAUACAGUUUUUCAUUGUUCAAAACACUUGACCCUAAUCAGUGCCACCGAUGUGUGAAUGGGAUUAGAUGAUACUGACAGGCGCUUUACACAGCAGCCUCUUCCAUCAGUGUAUGAAUGAGUGAAUGUGUAAAAGCACCGAGUAGCAAGAAGACUUGAAAAGUGCUUUUAUAAGCGCAGCCCAUUUACCAUUUAUCUCCUACAGCAUACUGAAACUCGACAUUUAUUCAUAAGUGACGAUUUUCCUUUUUCAGUUUUUCCCUCUUGAACAAGUAUGAAGGCGUCUUUUCAUCCAAGCUGUGGAUUUUGUGGUUUUGAGUUCAGACAUUUAAUUCCAAAUUUUCAUGUGCGUACUGUGGAAAACUCUUUUUAUUUCCAAGCUGUGUUAACGCAGCAGCUGGUCAAAACUCACUAAACCAAUUUUGCUGUCUUUCCCCCCGUGUCUGCCACCCCGCCUGUCUGUCUUUCUCUCUGACUGUGUGCUUGUGUGUGUGUGUUUGUAUUUAUUGUGCAGCAAGGGCCUGUAAAGUCAGUGAGCCUGAUGACCAAAAAGUUUGUCAGCACCCAGGAACCCCUGAAGCCCAUCAUCAUCUGGACCUCUAUCAUAAACCCAAGGUUUAUAGGAUGUUUGGGUCUAGACAUGCUCACUGACACCUCAGUCUUGAAAGAAAGUCCUAGAAGAGAUUUGGUGCGACAGUAAAGUUGAAGGAUCCGUUUAAGAGAUUACUUGCAUGUUGAAGGUUUCAGCAUUAAAGCUGUGCAGUGAUAGUGGAUCUUGCCAGCAUGAUAGUGAAGUUUAUAUCUCUGAGUUCCCCUAUAAUCAGCUGCUGCAGCAUGUAUUUAUACACAGGUUUAACAAAAAGUGACAUUAGGAUCCAGAAAAGAAACAGAAUACUUUGUAAAGAAAUAAAUAAAUCAAAGGAAUAAAUAUCAACCAUCUCUGAACUUUGUUUUUUUAUCAGUCAUGGGAGCUUAAAUCUAUCAAAAGUAUCAAAAUAACAUACAUACUAUACAAAAAAAUAAAAAAAAUCUGUGAAAAAAAUAAAAUAAAAUUCGACAAAAAACAUUGAAGCAAAACAAUUUUUGAAAGAGAAUAAAAGAUUGUGUGUAUGUGAGAGUGAGUUGCCUGCUAAUAAGCGCCACAAUUUAUCUUGCAUUUUAUUAUUGCUCACAAAAUGAUAACUGAACAAACUGGAACCAAAUGAAUGCUAAAAAUUAGAGGAGUCAUUUUUGUUCACAAACAGGAAAAAAAAGAAAAAAAUACAUUGAUUUUAUUCUAAUUGGAUAAAAUCUAAUGGCAACACAGAUUAAAGUGUCCUGCAAUGCUGAUGUGUAUGUUUCUGCACGUUUUAGAUAUAACCUCAUGAAAGAGAUUUGUUUGGAUGGCAUGGUACAUAUGUGCUAAUAUAUAAAUAUAAAAAAAAACAACUCUUGUUUUGUCAAGACUUAAGGAUCAUAUCGUACCUUAAACGAACAGUUCAUGCAUUUUUUGCAGCCUUUUGAGAGGAAGCCCCUUGGUAAUAUUCAGGACACAUACAAGUUAUAGUAUCAGCCUAUUUGGUCGCAAAUUAAUGUUUUCAUAAUUUGCUGACAAAACCAUUUUUGGGGGUACGAAGUAUUUAUUUACACAUCCAGUUUUCAAACAUGGGCACAAAGUAUCAAAAUUACGCAUACAGACAUUUGACAGCAAUGGAACUCCAUAAAAAACGGCCACAACGUAGAUUUACUAGAAAUCAGGGUUUUCACUGACAACAGCACACGAUAAAUAAGGAUUUUGUGCUGCAAAUCAUGCAAAGCUACUCCACGUGUCCCAGAUUGACAUAGUGAAAUGUAAAAAAAAAGAUUAUAAUAGGUCUCCUCUAGCUUCAUUUAUUAUUUACGUUUCAGGACACACCUGCAGUCCUGCACAGGAUCUGUGAUGACUAACAGCCUGUGAACCUGGCAUCAUAGACAGAAGACUAUGUAGGGCUGUGCACGAUCAUAUCACAUUGCAAAACUUCAUAGUCUAUAUUAAUAUAAUGAGACAGAUAAUUAUAUUUAAGGACUGUAAUUGUAAUAACUGUAAAUAAUUGUUACUGUAAUUGCUCUUUGGUUGUGUCUGAACAUGUGUGUAUUAAAGAGAGAGUGCACACGUGAUAGAGAGCUUGGUGAUGGUCUCGAUCUGCAGUUUUUGGCCCAUGCAGGGCUGAGACUCAGUUUCACUGUAUCUGAAAUACACUAUAUCUCCUUUUGACAGGGAGCGCUGCUGCACACAUGAGUGACUGUGUGGUGUAGUGAAGAAGAUAACAAUGACACAUUUAGUCUUGAUGUACGAUGGGGCCCUUUGUGUAAAAAGAAAAACUAGCAACUCAUGCUAUAUAUUAUGUAUUGAUUGUCAAAUAUUGAUGCUUGGGUAUAACAGAGAAAAAAAAUCCGCUUUUGGCAUUGGGUCCACAAGGGUGCUGCUGAUAUCGGUAUUCUCACAGUUACCACUUCAAAGUCAUCAAAGAAGCACUACACAAAAAAAGCCCAAAAAGCUGCUGGUUAUACUCAUUAAGCUCAGUUUAUUAUUAUUCUUUUUUUAAAAAGUACAAACAACAUUAGUAAAUAAAGUCACCUACAACGGGCCCAAAGUUAUCAAAAAUGAAGUCGUGCUUUUAUUAUCAUAACAUCUUAAAAGGAUCCAAGGGGAGCCUGCGGCAAGUGCUUUCCAUGUUUAAACAUGGGCAAGCUCUGUCAUAACACCCCUGCAGCACCCCCCAAAAGUUCAAAGCUCCUGCUUUCAUACUUUGUCAUGAAUGCAGCUCAGGAAUUUGUAUUUUUUUGUGUAUGGCUCUUUGUAUUAUUUUUUUUGGAAAACAUCACCACCGGGGAUUAAUGGAAGCAAGGCUACUGCACAAACAAUGAACUCAAAUCCAAAUGUUGGUGCAAGGAGAGGAAGGAUGAUGCAUCAAGUCUGAACAUAUUUUCAUGAAAGGGAGUCAGUCUCAGGUUUGAUGAUUGGGAAAUCAGGAGCUGCCUGGCCCAUUAACAUACUCUGAGUUAUGAGAAAAUAUAUAGACUCAUAGAAAUAAGUCAGUUGGUCAAACAGGUCAUCAGGGUCGGUUUAUGCUUUAGGGUAGCGGCCUUGAUACUUGAGUAUCCAAGUCUUAUGACUCAGCUCAAAAGGUCACAACAAAAAAGGGAGACACACACCAGGUAAAAGUCCAAAUAACUCUUUAUUAAACCAGAUUAAACCACAUCAAAACAAAUGAACUGAACACUAGAUGACACUAUAGGGGCAUCACACCUUGCAUAAGACAAUAUUUGGAAAACAUUACUUACAAAGCAUUGAAAACCUCUGUGUGGACAACUCUAGUCUGUGAUGAAAUGUUCUUCAUCAAAAUAUUACAAUAACAGAGUGGCCCUUGAAGGUUUGAAGAAAUGGAUUAGAACAACUGUUUCACUCUGGGAUUUUUCAAGUGGACAUCUCCAAUCAUGCACGCUCUAGUCAUUUGGUUUAAUGACACCCAAAAAUGGCUCAAAGUCAUCCUUUAGAGUCCAUUGUCCAACCCCCUUCACAUCCUCUUAGUGGUACUGAUCGCACACCAAUCCACAGUAGACAGUUAUCAACCUAACACCCCUCAUCAGUAUUACAGCUAUCCUGUAAUUCCUGAGAACUCUUCUAUGAAAGGUGCUCUUAAAUGUGAAGGUGCAGUCUUUCAUUGACCCAGCUUUACAUGUCCUUUUGAAACUGGACAACCUAGAUUUUCUAUCUUGGAUGAUUAUUUUUCAAGAGGAAGGAUAGGAGGCGUACAAACUAGUUUAGGAGUUGUUCUAUACGUGAUCCUGCCUGAUGAGUGUACAUUUAGUUCUAGUCUGCAAAGCAACUUGAGACACUUUGUUCUAGCUAACAGAUAGUGCUGGGGCCAUGGCCAGUAUUACAACUAGUUUGCAGAGUUUUAAUGACACACAGGGACUAUAAGAAUGUUUUACCUCUCUGUCCAAUAGAACAGCCAGGCAAGAGUGCUGAACACCAAACACCAGCCUGGGUUGAUUUGUGUGAAUACAAGCUGUAUGAUGACGAUCAAUCAUAUUAUCUUAUUUUUCUUUUGUACUAGUUAUUUUUGGCAAUCAUGUUAUUUUACAUUUAAGAGAUUGUAUCUGUCUGAGAUGGUUGUAUGAGGAAUUUGUUCAUGUCAUGUAAGUGUGCUUACCUGAAUCCUGCUCAGCUUGGCCCCUUUAUUGACAAACUAGCGUAAUUAGUCUACCCUGCCGAAGACAGGUGCUUGUGAAUUUCCCAGUUUUGUGAAUUUCCCAGUUUGGGAUCAAUAAAGUAUAUCUAUCUAUCUAUCUCAGCUGCGUAAUUCAACUAUUUUUUAGAAAUUUUGACCCAAACAAAUUGUUGUAAGUGUAAGGCCUGACACCACAAAUUAUGGCCAGAAAAUUCAAUUUUUUUCUAGAGCUGCAAUGUUUAUUUCACUUACUACUGAAAAAAUCUUAAAAUUUAACAAAUAUAUUUUAUUUAUUUCAUUUGAUACAUCAGAUGUUUCUGGAAACAGAUAAACUACAAGAGGACACUUUUAUCAUUUAUCAGACUGUAUUCAGGUGUUUUUUAGUAAUUUGUAUAUAAAAGUAUGUAUCAAACAUGAUUACAAAAGGCAUUAAAGGGCUAACUUUCGCUAUAGAAAAACUCAGUCAGUGUGAUUACAUGCAGUUUUAAAAAUUGAUUUAUUUCCCUACAAACGAAGAAAUACGAAACUUUCCACAGCUGUAAAAAUGACAGUAUUUUGACCUUGCUAGCUUGUUUUGCUGGCUGUUCUUAUAUGUUAUACAUCAACUGUGACAUGGCCCGAAAGUAACAAGCUGUAAGGGGGCAUGUCGCCGCCAACCAUAGCGGAGGCUGACAACACUUCUUGCCUAUGGCUUGUAAACUGGGACAAGGACAGUGGUCACCCAAUCAAGCUUAACCAUAGCUUGACUGAACUGUGCAUGUAAACGGACUAAUUAUUUUGAGAUGAAUAAACACAUAGCCUACAUGUUCUUCUGCCUGCAGCGCACUGUUCAGCUAGUUAGGUCGGGUGGGUGAUUGAGCCUUUUAAAGCAUAGCACAAAUAAAAAAACAGUUUAUUAUUUUGGUAUUUUUGAAAUAUUUCGAUUUAUCAUCAGAGAAAAUACUGUUUUUUUUUAAAUGUGAAGAGCGAGAGUAGACAUUCCUGCAUAUACUUUGGAAAGCUCUGGUUUGUGCUUACUGGUGAACUGUCCUUAAUCUACGCAUAAUGUUUCAACUAUAAGCUGUAUGUAUAAAAAUGACCCAGGAAAUCCAAUUACAACUGACAAUAGAGCCUCAGUUAUGACUCAUACUGGCAUGAUGGUACGGGGACCAGAUUUGGAUGAGGAAAUGGAGGAAUCUGAAGGCUCGCUUUUUCAUAAAUGAAUUGUCCAGUUCGUCGAAGUAACCUCAUUUGGAUGAAAUUUAAUCACACUGAAAUAAAGGGGCAGACUAAUAUGUGAUGAAAUUGUGUGAUCUCUUUAGGGCACAGUAUGAUGCUAUUGUUAGUAGCACCAUGGACUUAUAUAAUUGAAACAAAUUAUACCACAAGUUAGGCUUUAAUUGAUUUUUGUUGUGUCUUUGUGUCAUUUAAUCUCUCUUGCGAAGCCCCACAAAGUGACAUUUUUCAUCUUGUGCUGACAAGAUCAUUUUUGAAUGUGUAUAUAACGAGAUAAAAAUAUAAUUAAAGCUGGACUUCAGGGACUCUGUGAUUUUACGGCAUUAUUAAUAUAUCACAACUCAUGGUGAAUCUCUAUAUUGUUAUGUUGAUUAUGGCAAAUAUUAAAAUAUUGUCCUAAAUGAACUCCCUAAAGUCCCAGCAAACCCCUCUUUUCCCUGGCAGAUCUUCUUCCUAAAUCCUCUCUCUUAGCUAGAAUGAAAUUGAUUGAGUGUUUUAGAGCCCAGAGAAUCAAAUGCAGCACUUAGCAUGAGUUUGAUCAUUCUUUGAGUAAGUCAAGUGCCGUCUCAUUCCCACUGUCUUUGUGCCUGAUCACAGACAAUAACAAAAUGUCUCUACCUGGGAGAGGCUUUUUUGUGAUUUCAAGGGCCUGUGACACCUUCAGACACCUUAAAAUCGCAGGUAUCACUCUUAUAAAGUGUGAUGAGCUUGCUGUCAGUUUUCCCCCAAAGGAUCUAACUUUGGAACAAUACCUGUGAUUUAGACUGGCCAUCACUCUCUUGCUUUCUUCUGCUCUGUCUGUCUGUCUGUCUUUCUCUUUCACACUCACUCACACACGCACAUACACAUGCGGGCGCUGUGGCCCGUGGGGAUAUUUUUCUUUUGGCUCGGGGAUCAGAAGGAUGUGGAGCUGUGAAUGCUUCAGCCCCGCUCUCCUCUUGUGUGCGCUCUUGCUCACACUGUGUUGGGAAUUAAUGACUUCUCUGUGGCCCAUCAACAGCAGCGAACACGUGGGGAGAAAACAGAAGAGAUGGAGUUGGGGUGGGUGCAACUAGGGGAGUAGAAAAUAACAGAUAACCGUGGGACCUUAGCUUGGCCGUGUGCAGUAUACUGCGGCAUGGAGAGGAGGGAGGGGAUAAUUCUGAAAGGCGACCAGAGAGCAAUAGGAAUGAAGAGGAAAGAAACAAUAAGUUGGUGCUGAGUCAGAUAGGUGAUAUUGUGGGAAGAGGUAAUUUCAUUUUGGCUUCCCACUAGGGACCCAAGAGACCAAAGUGAGUUUUAACACUUCCUGCCCUUCACCU